UCGCGGCUUAUCACCGGCAGUCCCCUUAGAGUGCCCAACUAAAUGAUGGCAACUAAGGGCGAGGGUUGCGCUCGUUGCGGGACUUAACCCAACAUCUCACGACACGAGCUGACGACGGCCAUGCAGCACCUGUGCUGGCUGCCCUUGCGGGCUCAUCCCCGUUUCCGGUUCUUAAUACCAGCAUGUCAAACCUGGGUAAGGUUCUUCGCGUUGCGUCGAAUUAAACCACAUGCUCCACCGCUUGUGCGGGACCCCGUCAAUUCCUUUGAGUUUUAAUCUUGCGACCGUACUCCCCAGGCGGGAUGCUUAAUGCGUUAGCUGCGCCACUGACAGGCAAGCCUGCCAACGGCUAGCAUCCAUCGUUUACGGCGUGGACUAC
rnacentral:misc_RNA from 1 species